GGCGUAAGCGCGCGUAGGCGGCUAAUUAAGUCAAAUGUGAAAUCCCCGAGCUUAACUUGGGAAUUGCAUUCGAUACUGGUUAGCUAGAGUGUGGGAGAGGAUGGUAGAAUUCCAGGUGUAGCGGUGAAAUGCGUAGAGAUCUGGAGGAAUACCGAUGGCGAAGGCAGCCAUCUGGCCUAACACUGACGCUGAGGUGCGAAAGCAUGGGGAGCAAACAGGAUUAGAUACCCUGGUAGUCCAUGCCGUAAACGAUGUCUACUAGCCGUUGGGGCCUUUGAGGCUUUAGUGGCGCAGCUAACGCGAUAAGUAGACCGCCUGGGGAGUACGGUCGCAAGACUAAAACUCAAAUGAAUUGACGGGGGCCCGCACAAGCGGUGGAGCAUGUGGUUUAAUUCGAUGCAACGCGAAGAACCUUACCUGGCCUUGACAUAGUAAGAACUUUCCAGAGAUGGAUUGGUGCCUUCGGGAACUUACAUACAGGUGCUGCAUGGCUGUCGUCAGCUCGUGUCGUGAGAUGUUGGGUUAAGUCCCGCAACGAGCGCAACCCUUUUCCUUAUUUGCCAGCGAGCAAUGUCCGCAACUUUAACGAUACUGCCAGUGAC
rnacentral:rRNA from 1 species